rnacentral:rRNA from 1 species
GAUGAACGCUAGCGGGAGGCUUAACACAUGCAAGUCGAGGGGCAGCAUAGGGUAGCAAUACUCUGAUGGCGACCGGCGCACGGGUGAGUAACGCGUAUGCAACCUAUCCUGUACUGGAAGAUAACCCGGAGAAAUUCGGACUAAUAUUCCAUAAUGAUAUUGAGAGGCAUCUUUUAAUAUUUAAAGUUACGACGGUACUGGCUGGGCAUGCGUAACAUUAGCUAGUUGGUAGGGUAACGGCCUACCAAGGCCACGAUGUUUAGGGGUCCUGAGAGGGUGAUCCCCCACACUGGUACUGAGACACGGACCAGACUCCUACGGGAGGCAGCAGUGAGGAAUAUUGGUCAAUGGGCGCAAGCCUGAACCAGCCAUCCCGCGUGAAGGAAGAAGGCGCUAUGCGUUGUAAACUUCUUUUCCAGGGGAAUAAAAUUUUGUACGUGUACGGAAUUGAAGGUACCCUGGGAAUAAGCAUCGGCUAACUCCGUGCCAGCAGCCGCCGUAAUAC